UACGUAGGGGGCAAGCGUUGUCCGGAUUUAUUGGGCGUAAAGAGCUCGUAGGUGGUUCGGUAAGUCGGAUGUGAAAUCUCCAGGCUCAACCUGGAGGGGUCAUUCGAUACUGCCGUGACUAGAGGUCGGUAGGGGAGUGUGGAAUUCCUGGUGGAGCGGUGAAAUGCGCAGAUAUCAGGAGGAACACCGGUGGCGAAGGCGGGUCUCUGGGCAGUAACUGACGCGAGGAGCGAAAGCGUUGGGGAGCGAACAGG
rnacentral:rRNA from 1 species